UACGUAGGGUGCAAGCGUUGUCCGGAAUUAUUGGGCGUAAAGAGCUCGUAGGCGGUUCGUCGUCGUCGGCUGUGAAAACCUGAGGCUCCGAACCUCAGGCCUGCAGUCGAUACGGGCGGACUUGAAGUACUGCAGGGGGAGACGUGGAAUUCCUGGUGUAGCGGUGAAAAUGCGCAGAUAUCAGGAGGAACACCGGUGGCGAAGGCGGGGUCUCUGGGCAGUAACUGACGCUGAGGAGCGAAAAGCGUGGGGGAGCGAACAGG
rnacentral:rRNA from 1 species